AUACGGAGGGUCCAAGCGUUAUCCGGAAUCAUUGGGUUUAAAGGGUCCGCAGGCGGUCAAUUAAGUCAGAGGUGAACGCCCAUCGCUCAACGAUGGAACUGCCUUUGAUACUGGUUGACUUGAGUUAUACGGAAGUAGAUAGAAUAAGUAGUGUAGCGGUGAAAUGCAUAGAUAUUACUUAGAAUACCGAUUGCGAAGGCAGUCUACUACGUAUAUACUGACGCUGAGGGACGAAAGCGUGGGGAGCGAACAGGAUUAGAAACCCCAGUAGUCC
rnacentral:rRNA from 1 species